UACGCAGGGUGCAAGCGUUAAUCGGAAUUACUGGGCGUAAAGCGUGCGCAGGCGGUGAUGUAAGACAGAUGUGAAAUCCCCGGGCUCAACCUGGGAACUGCAUUUGUGACUGCAUCGCUGGAGUGCGGCAGAGGGGGGAUGGAAUUCCGCGUGUAGCAGUGAAAUGCGUAGAUAUGCGGAGGAACACCGAUGGCGAAGGCAAUCCCCUGGGCCUGCACUGACGCUCAUGCACGAAGCGUGGG
rnacentral:rRNA from 1 species